GAUGAACGCUGGCGGCAUGCCUUACACAUGCAAGUCGAACGGCAGCAUGGAGAGCUUGCUCUCUGAUGGCGAGUGGCGAACGGGUGAGUAAUGCAUCGGAACGUACCGUGUAAUGGGGGAUAACGUAGCGAAAGUUACGCUAAUACCGCAUACGACCUGAGGGUGAAAGCAGGGGAUCGCAAGACCUUGCGUUAUACGAGCGGCCGAUGUCAGAUUAGCUAGUUGGUGAGGUAAAGGCUCACCAAGGCGACGAUCUGGAGCGGGUCUGAGAGGAUGAUCCGCCACCCUGGGACUGAGACACGGCCCAGACUCCUACGGGAGGCGGCAGUGGGGAAUUUUGGACAAUGGGGGCAACCCUGAUCCAGCCAUGCCGCGUGAGUGAAGAAGGCCUUCGGGUUGUAAAGCUCUUUCGGCCGGGAAGAAAUCGCACAGGCUAAUACUCUGUGUGGAUGACGGUACCGGCAUAAGAAGCACCGGCUAACUACGUGCCAGCAGCCGCCGUAA
rnacentral:rRNA from 1 species